AGCUGUUUACUUCCUGGUUGCACCAUGAGAAGAGGAUGGCUGCAUCAAAGUUCCCAAACAAAAGUUUCACUUUCAGUCAAGUUCUGGAUAUGUUGGAUCUAGGUGACUGCCCAGACAAGGCAUGCAACAUUGCAGUUAUCCCUCACAAUGAGAAAGAUGCUGUCCUGAGUGAUUGUGAUAGCGAUGGGUCAGAUAUGGACUAUGGACAGGCCAUUUGCCAGCCAGGCUGUUGAAUGCAUAUGCUGAACCUAUGCAAACAGACCAUGACAGGAACAACGUUAUCAGUGAUGGUGACCUACCCCUCACCACCCUCCAUUGUUGUUAAUGAAGAGCCAAGGGCCUCUACCCGCCAGAGGGUCCAGUCAGAAGAGCCAAGGGCCUCUACAAGCCAUAGGCGUCAGCCAGAAGAGCCAAGGGAAAAGCUGCAGGUGGUCAAAAAUAAAGAUUGAGCGUUCAAACGAUCGAAGAGGCCUGCCACUGAUGUGAUUCCAAAACACAUAGUAUACAGCCCAAAUAUGCAAAAGUUUGGCACGAAACCCCUGAGCCAUGGAAGGAGAUCUUUACUGGUUGCUACUGUUGAAGAUCAGGCAAGAUAUGACAAAGCUUCUCACUGGCCAAUCAACACGAUGCACCGGUUCCACAGAAGUCGUACUACCUAUGCAUGUGAGAAAUGCAAAGCGCCACUGCACAUUGAGGGCUUCAAGAUAUACCAUGGACAGUAGAAAAGGAGAUAAGACCGAAUGAAAAAGGGUUGAAAAAGACAAUAAAAGAAAAAUAGAAAAGUCGAUAAAGGGUGAGGAGAAGCAGUACAACGGACUCUAGGAAGAAAAGAAAAGUCGACGAAAAAGACAAUCAAAAUAACUGAAAUGUUUUUGGAAAAGAAGGUCAAUUGAUUCAAGACAUCCUGUAUGACAGUAGGUCUGACUGAUCGUAGUUCAAAACAGUGAUGCACAAACUAAUCUUGCACUUGGUUCUGAAGCCUAACUAUGAUAUAUAUUUAUAUAUAUAUAUAUACAUCUAUAAAAGCACUCAUUGUCCAGUGGCGCUUUUUAAAUAUAUAAUUGUAUUUUAUUCAGUGUAGGCCUCUACUUUAAUGAAUAUUCUACAGGCUACCUCUAUCCUAAAUGUUACCUUUAUGUUCAGUGGGAAUGACUCACAUGACUGCUAUACAGUUGUUAGUGAAUGUUGCACUAAAAUGUCACAAUGACAACGUUACAAUGAAUAUUGCACUAAAGUACAAGUUCAACUGUUACAAUAAAGUUACAAUAUUAAUGUUUCAGUACAUGUUGCACUAAAGUAACAAUGUUGAAAUAC